UAGCUCAGCUGGUAAAGAAACUGCCUGAAAUGCAGGAAACCCAGGUUCGAUUCCUGG
rnacentral:tRNA from 1 species